CUGCCGGAGGCUACUGCUAUUGGAGUUCGAUUAAGCCAUGCGAGUCUAAGGGGUACUUGUACCCCUGGCAUAAUGCUCAGUAACACGUGGAUAAUCUACCCUUAGGUGGGGCAUAAACCCGGGAAACUGGGGCCAAUUCCCCAUAGAUACAGAACGCUGGAAUGCAUCUGUAUUCAAAGCUCCGGCGCCUAAGGAUGAGUCUGCGGCCUAUCAGGUAGUAGUCAGGGUCACGACCUGACUAGCCAGCGACGGGUACGGGGUGUGAGAGCACCUGCCCGGAGAUGGUUUCUGAGACACGAAACCAGGCCCUACGGGGCGCAGCAGGCGCGAAAACUUCGCAAUGCGGGAAACCGUGACGAGGGAACUCCAAGUGUCUAUGCAAUGCAUAGACUGUUUUUCAGCCUAAAAAGCUGUUAGAGUAAGGGGUGGGUAAGACCGGUGCCAGCCGCCGCGGUAACACCGGCACCCCAAGUGGUAGCCACUAUUAUUGGGCCUAAAGCGUUCGUAGCCGGUUUAGUAAAUUCUUGGGUAAAUCGUACAGCUUAACUGUGCGGAUUCCGGGGACACUACUAGACUUGAGACCGGGAGAGAUUAGAGGUAC
rnacentral:rRNA from 1 species